UGGGGAAUCUUGGACAAUGGGGGCAACCCUGAUCCAGCCAUGCCGCGUGAGUGAUGAAGGCCUUAGGGUUGUAAAGCUCUUUCACCGGUGAAGAUAAUGACGGUAGCCGGAGAAGAAGCCCCGGCUAACUCCGUGCCAGCAGCCGCGGUAAUACGGAGGGGGCUAGCGUUGUUCGGAAUUACUGGGCGUAAAGCGCGCGUAGGCGGACUGAUCAGUCAGGGGUGAAAUCCCGGGGCUCAACCCCGGAACUGCCUUUGAUACUGUCAGUCUUGAGUCCGGAAGAGGCGAGUGGAAUACCGAGUGUAGAGGUGAAAUUCGUAGAUAUUUGGAGGAACACCAGUGGCGAAGGCGGCUCACUGGCUCGAUACUGACGCUGAGGUGCGAAAGUGUGGGGAGCAAACAGGAUUAGAUACCCUGGUAGUCCACACCGUAAACGAUGAAUGCCAGUCGUCGGGUAGCAUGCUAUUCGGUGACACACCUAACGGAUUAAGCAUUCCGCCUGGGAGUACGGUCGCAAGAUUAAAAGCUCAAAUGAAUUG
rnacentral:rRNA from 1 species